rnacentral:rRNA from 1 species
CAAGCUUGCUUGGUGGAUCAGUGGCGAACGGGUGAGUAACACGUGAGCAACCUGCCCUGGACUCUGGGAUAAGCGCUGGAAACGGCGUCUAAUACUGGAUAUGAGACGUGAUCGCAUGGUCGUGUUUGGAAAGAUUUUUCGGUCUGGGAUGGGCUCGCGGCCUAUCAGCUUGUUGGUGAGGUAAUGGCUCACCAAGGCGUCGACGGGUAGCCGGCCUGAGAGGGUGACCGGCCACACUGGGACUGAGACACGGCCCAGACUCCUACGGGAGGCAGCAGUGGGGAAUAUUGCACAAUGGGCGGAAGCCUGAUGCAGCAACGCCGCGUGAGGGAUGACGGCCUUCGGGUUGUAAACCUCUUUUAGCAGGGAAGAAGCGAAAGUGACGGUACCUGCAGAAAAAGCGCCGGCUAACUACGUGCCAGCAGCCGCGGUAAUACGUAGGGCGCAAGCGUUAUCCGGAAUUAUUGGGCGUAAAGAGCUCGUAGGCGGUUUGUCGCGUCUGCUGUGAAAUCCCGAGGCUCAACCUCGGGCCUGCAGUGGGUACGGGCAGACUAGAGUGCGGUAGGGGAGAUUGGAAUUCCUGGUGUAGCGGUGGAAUGCGCAGAUAUCAGGAGGAACACCGAUGGCGAAGGCAGAUCUCUGGGCCGUAACUGACGCUGAGGAGCGAAAGGGUGGGGAGCAAACAGGCUUAGAUACCCUGGUAGUCCACCCCGUAAACGUUGGGAACUAGUUGUGGGGACCAUUCCACGGUUUCCGUGACGCAGCUAACGCAUUAAGUUCCCCGCCUGGGGAGUACGGCCGCAAGGCUAAAACUCAAAGGAAUUGACGGGGACCCGCACAAGCGGCGGAGCAUGCGGAUUAAUUCGAUGCAACGCGAAGAACCUUACCAAGGCUUGACAUAUACGAGAACGGGCCAGAAAUGGUCAACUCUUUGGACACUCGUAAACAGGUGGUGCAUGGUUGUCGUCAGCUCGUGUCGUGAGAUGUUGGGUUAAGUCCCGCAACGAGCGCAACCCUCGUUCUAUGUUGCCAGCACGUAAUGGUGGGAACUCAUGGGAUACUGCCGGGGUCAACUCGGAGGAAGGUGGGGAUGACGUCAAAUCAUCAUGCCCCUUAUGUCUUGGGCUUCACGCAUGCUACAAUGGCCGGUACAAAGGGCUGCAAUACCGUGAGGUGGAGCGAAUCCCAAAAAGCCGGUCCCAGUUCGGAUUGAGGUCUGCAACUCGACCUCAUGAAGUCGGAGUCGCUAGUAAUCGCAGAUCAGCAACGCUGCGGUGAAUACGUUCCCGGGUCUUGUACACACCGCCCGUCAAGUCAUGAAAGUCGGUAACACCUGAAGCCGGUGGC